rnacentral:siRNA from 1 species
CGAGGUGGUAUCUGUAACUACA